CGCGAAGAACCUUACCUGGUCUUGACAUCCACAGAAUUAUUUAGAAAUAAAGAAGUGCCUUUUAGGAACUGUGAGACAGGUGCUGCAUGGCUGUCGUCAGCUCGUGUUGUGAAAUGUUGGGUUAAGUCCCGCAACGAGCGCAACCCUUAUCCUUUUUUGCCAGCGGUUCGGCCGGGAACUACAAGGAGACUGCCGGUUAUAAACCGGAGGAAGGUGGGGACGACGUCAAGUCAUCAUGGCCCUUACGACCAGGGCUACACACGUGCUACAAUGGUACAUACAAAGAGAAGCAAAUUCGCGAGAAUAAGCAAAUCUCAUAAAGUGUAUCUUAGUUCGGACUGGAGUCUGCAACUCGACUCCACGAAGUCGGAAUCGCUAGUAAUCGUGAAUCAGAAUGUCA
rnacentral:rRNA from 2 species